UACGUAGGUGACCAGCGUUGUCCGGAUUUACUGGGCGUAAAGAGCGCGCAGGCGGUCGUUCAAGUCGAGUGUGAAAGCCCCCGGCUCAACUGGGGAGGGUCACUCGAUACUGAUCGACUUGAAGGCAGGAGAGGGAAGCGGAAUUCCCGGUGUAGUGGUGAAAUGCGUAGAUAUCGGGAGGAACCCCAGUGGCGAAGGCGGCUUCCUGGCCUGUUCUUGACGCUGAGGCGCGAAAGCUAGGGGAGCAAACAGG
rnacentral:rRNA from 1 species